UGGGCCGCUAGCUCAGCAGGCAGAGCACCGCCCUUUUAAGGCGGGUGUCGUUGGUUCGAAUCCAACGCGGCUCAUUUU
rnacentral:tRNA from 1 species